rnacentral:rRNA from 1 species
AUUGAACGCUGGCGGCAGGCCUAACACAUGCAAGUCGAACGAGUGGCGGACGGGUGAGUAAUGUCUGGGAAACUGCCCGAGGGAGGGGGAUAACUACUGGAAACGGUAGCUAAUAACGCAUACCAUCGGAUGUGCCCAGUUGGGUUGAGCUAGUAGGUGGGGUAACGCCUCACCAAGGCGACGAUCCCUAGCUGGUCUGAGAGGAUGACCAGACACACUGGAACUGAGACACGGUCCAGACUCCUACGGGAGGCAGCAGUGGGGAAUAUUGGACAAUGGGCGCAAGCCUGAUGCAGCCAUGCCGCGUGUAUGAAGAAGGCCUUCGGUUUGUAAAGGACUUUCAGCGGGGAGGCGUUACUCGCAGAAGAAGCACCGGCUAACUCCGUGCCAGCAGCCGCGGUAAUUC